AGAGCCACUUGUUAUCAGGAAGCUGCUCUCUCAGCACAACGGAAAAUAUCUCAAUGACUUGACAUGUUCUGGCUGUGAAUUCAGGCUACAAGAACCAGGAAGUCCAUCCCCCUUCACAAACUCUCUUCUGAGGAAACGAAACUGAUCUGAGUCUCUGUGUCGUCUGUCUGUGUGAGAGUGAACAACCGUCCAAAUGGCUCAACAGGGAGUUCUGCUGGACCAGGACCAGUUCUGUUGUUCUGUCUGUCUGGAUCUACUGAAGGAACCAGUCACCAUCCCCUGUGGACACAGUUACUGUAGGAGCUGUAUUGAGGGCUGCUUGGAUCAGGAUGUUCUGAAAGGGGUCUAUAGCUGUCCUCAGUGCAGACAGACCUUCAGUCCGAGGCCGACGCUGAGGAAAAAUAACAUGUUGGCUGAGCUGGUGGAGAAACUGAAGAAGACAGGACUCCAGGCUGCUCCCCCUCCUGCUCUGUGCUAUGCUGGACCUAGAGAUGUGGCGUGUGAUGUCUGUACUGGGACCAGAAAGCAGAAAGCCCUCAUGUCCUGUCUGGCGUGUCUGGCCUCUUACUGUGAGACUCACCUCCAACCUCACUACGAAUCUCCAGCUUUCAAGAAGCACAAGAUGGUCAAAGCCACCGCACAACUACAGGAGAAGAUAUGCUCUCAUCAUGACAAACUGCUGGAGGUUUACUGUCGUACCGAUCAGCAGUGUAUCUGUCUGCUGUGUGUGAUGGAUGAACAUAAAGGCCAUGAUACAGUGUCAGCUGCAGCAGAGAGGACUGAGAAACAGAGGCAGCUGGGGAUGAGUCAGCAGAAGGUCCAGCAGAGAUUCCAGGAGAGAGAGAAGGAGCUGAAGGAGCUCCAACAGGCUGUGGAGUCUCUCAAGCGCUCUGCACAGGCAGCAGUGGAGGACAGUGAUCAGAUCUUUACUGAGCUGAUCCGCUCCAUUGAGAGAAGGAGCUCUGAGGUGAAGGAGCUGAUCAGAGCCCAAGAGAAGGCUCAAGUGAGUGAAGCUGAAGGAGUCCUGGAGCAACUGAAGCAGGAGAUAGCUGAGCUGAGGAAGAGAAGCACUGAGCUGGAGCAGCUCUCACACACAGAGGAUCACAUCCAUUUCCUCCAGAGUUAUCAGUCUCUCUCCAGUAUCAGUGUAUCUUCAGACUUACCCAGCAUCGUUGUCCGUCCUCUUCAGUACUUUGGAGAUGUGAGUAAGACUGUGUCUGAACUGAGAGAGAAACUAGAAGACUUCCUUAAAGGAGAAUGGACCAAGAUCUCCACUACAGUGAAUAUAGUGGAGGUUGUUCUGCCUCCAGAGCCCAAGACCAGAGAACAGUUGUUACAAUAUUCCUGUCAGCUCACACUGGACCCAAACACAGCACACACACACCUCUCUCUGUCUGAAGGGAACAGAAAGGUGACCUAUACAGGCCAAGUCCAACCAUAUCCUGACCAUCCAGACAGAUUCACCAACAUAUUCCAGGUUCUGUGUAGAGAGGGUCUGUCUGGACGCUGUUACUGGGAGGUGGAGUGGACUGGUGGUGUUAUUACAGCAGUCUCAUAUAAAGACAUCAGCAGAACAGAGAGAGUCCCUGUGGGUGAGAAGCGGCUGAUGGAGGUGAAGCUGUGUGAACUGGGCUCCUGGAUGGGCAAGAGGGACUUCACUCCUAACGGACUCCUCGCCAGCAUCCGCAAUGGCCAUGACAGAUAUUACAACAAGUACAUCAACGUGAAGAAGGGAGGUAUCGGAGGCGUGGCCAUGCUGCUGGUUGGAUACGUGGCCCUCAGUUACCUCUGGGAGUACGACCACCUCAAGCACGACCGCUGGAGGAAGUACCACUAAGCCCCUCCUCUCCUGACCCAGCAGGGCAGAGCCCUGACCUCUGACCCCCUGGCUCCAGCUGUCUGUAUUAUACCACCGAUGUGACCAAUAAUAAAAUAUAACUACUUCUAAUAUUUACAUUUGAUCUGCUGUGUUUGGAGGUUCAUUACAGUGUUUGGAUGUUUUAUUUGCUAGUUGAUAUGACUGUGGACAUAAAUAAAUGUUUUGUUAAAUGGGGAAACGUUACAGUGAACUCAAAUCUAAUUUUUAUUUGUCACAUACACGUGUUUAGCAGAUGUUGGUGUCUAGCUCUAACAGUACAGUAAUAUCUAACAAUGAACACAUCUCUAAAAUAAAUGUAUAAAUAUUUUGAUGCUCAAUGUCACAGUGACAGACUAAGAUACAGUAUAUACAUUUGAUGAAUAAUGUAUAAUUUGUAAACAUUAAAAUGGCCAGUGAUUCCU
rnacentral:lncRNA from 1 species